UACGUAGGGGGCAAGCGUUGUCCGGAAUUAUUGGGCGUAAAGAGCUCGUAGGCGGCUUGUCACGUCGAUUGUGAAAGCCCGAGGCUUAACCUCGGGUCUGCAGUCGAUACGGGCUAGCUAGAGUGUGGUAGGGGAGAUCGGAAUUCCUGGUGUAGCGGUGGAAUGCGCAGAUAUCAGGAAGAACACCAACGGCGAAGGCAGCUCGCUAGGACGGUACUGACGCUGAGACGCGAAAGCGUGGGGAGCGAACAGG
rnacentral:rRNA from 1 species